GAUGAACGCUAGCGGCAGGCUUAAUACAUGCAAGUCGAGGGGUAGCAAGAUUGUAGCAAUACAAUUGUUGACGACCGGCAAACGGGUGCGGAACACGUACACAACCUUCCUACAAGUGGGGAAUAGCCCAGAGAAAUUUGGAUUAAUACCCCGUAACAUAGCGAUGUGGCAUCACAUUGCUAUUAUAGCUUCGGCGCUUGUUGAUGGGUGCGCGGCUGAUUAGAUAGUUGGCGGGGUAACGGCCCACCAAGUCUACGAUCAGUAGCUGAUGUGAGAGAAUGAUCAGCCAAACAGUGCCUGAGAAACGGGCCCGACUCCUACGGGAGGCAGCAGUAAGGAAUAUUGGACAAUGGACGCAAGUCUGAUCCAGCCAUGCCGCGUGAAGGAUUAAGGUCCUCUGGAUUGUAAACUUCUUUUAUAAGGGACGAAAAAAGGUCUUUCUAGAUCGUCUGACGGUACCUUAUGAAUAAGCACCGGCUAACUCCGUGCCAGCCGCCGCAGUAAAAC
rnacentral:rRNA from 1 species